AAAAAUGUAGAGCAAAUGAACUGCAGGUAUACAUGGACGCCUUAAACUGCAGGGAUGUAGUGGCGUAACCGACUAACAAUAUU
rnacentral:ncRNA from 21 species